AGGACGAACGCUGGCGGCGUGCUUAACACAUGCAAGUCAAGCGGAAAGGCCCUUCGGGGUACUCGAGCGGCGAACGGGUGAGUAACACGUGGGCAACCUGCCCCUAGCUCUGGGACAACUCCGGGAAACCGGGCUAAUACCGGAUACGAUCUUCCACGGCAUCUCGGAAGAUGGAAAGUUUUUUCGGCUAGGGAUGGGCCCGCGGCCUAUCAGCUUGUUGGUGAGGUAACGGCCCACCAAGGCGACGACGGGUAG
rnacentral:rRNA from 1 species